AACCAUAGAAACCUGCGGAGUACCUGCGGAAGGAUCAUUACCGAGUUUACAACUCCCAAACCCCUGUGAACAUACCUAUACGUUGCCUCGGCGGAUCAGCCCGCGCCCCGUAAAAAGGGACGGCCCGCCCGAGGACCCCUAAACUCUGUUUUUAGUGGAACUUCUGAGUAAAACAAACAAAUAAAUCAAAACUUUUAACAAUGGAUCU
rnacentral:misc_RNA from 1 species